rnacentral:rRNA from 1 species
GUACACGCUGUGACUAGCAUAUCAAUAAGCGGAGGAAAAGAAACUAACAAGGAUUCCCCUAGUAACGGCGAGUGAAGCGGGAAGAGCUCAAAUUUGAAAUCUUAAAGGGUUUCCCUUUACGAAUUGUAGUUUAAAGAAGUGUUUUCUGUUGAGGUUUUGGUAAAAGUUCUUUGGAAUAGGACAUCAUAGAGGGUGAGAAUCCCGUAUUUGACCUUUACUUUCAACUUUGUGAUACACUUUCAAAGAGUCGGAUUGUUUGGGAAUGCAGUCCAAAAUGGGUGGUAAAUUUCAUCUAAAGCUAAAUAUUGGCGAGGAGACCGAUAGCGAACAAGUACCGUGAGGGAAAGAUGAAAAGAACUUUGAAAAGAGAGUUAAACAGUACGUGAAAUUGUCAAAAGGGAAGCGUUUGACACCAGUGUUGUUUUUCUGAAAAUCAAUUAAAGAACUGUUUAUGCUAAGUUGUUUAGACUUUAUCAGCUAACUGUUUAGUUUUGAGCUUUUCUUUAAUGCACUUUUCAGUUAACAAGUCAACAUCAAUUUCUUUUGCUGUAAAAAAGCUUGAGGAAGGUGGCUUGAGAUUCGUCUUAAGUGUUUAUAGCCUCUUGCCUAUGCAGUCGGAGGAGAUUGAGGUCUGCAGCGUAGAUCCUUCGGGGCUAAAUGCAUUUGUGCUAAGUUAUAGCAUUUCAUAGACAACUUGUUGACUAUGAUUUGUCUUGUAGCUUACUCGCUUAUGUUAUUUUACCUACGCUUAGGAUGUUGACAGCAGUAUAGACUGUACACGCUGUGACUAGCAUAUCAAUAAGCGGAGGAAAAGUCAAUACCUACGCUUAGGAUGUUGACAGCAGUAUAGACUGU